rnacentral:RNase_P_RNA from 1 species
UUGUCGCUGGCAUCUCAGAUGCGAGAGGAAAGUCCGGGCAGCACAGGGCGUCCCACUUCUGAAAAUGGAAGCUGUUGGCGACAGCAGGUAAGGGCAGAAGAAAACAACCGCCUCUCCUUGUGGGGGGUAAGGGUGAGAAGGUGGUGUAAGAGACCACCAGCCGGUGGGUGAUCAUCGGGCUGUGUCCGCUGGGAGCUGCAAGUUCGCGUAUACCAUCGUCUGAGGGUUGCCCGCCCGACUCAUUCCGAUGGAGGGUAGAACGCUUGAGCCGCGGGGUGACUCGUGGUCUAGAUAAAUGACAGGCAUCGGAGCUUCGGCUCCGGGACAGAACCCGGCUUACAGGGGCUCU